GUUGGGUUUGUUACAUAUUCUUUUUAAUUGUUCUUAUAUUUGGAUGCCAUUUUUUGCAUUUAUUGUCUGAUGUUUGGGAAGAUCAUGUGUGACUAGCUAUUGCACUUUACCAUUGAUCCAGUGACUUCAGAGAUUUUGCAGAUGGGCUUUUUAUUACCAUUGAUCUUGUAAGUGUGUACAUAUAGCAACUUGUUACAGUAUUUGACAAUGUUGCACUAUUUCUUCACUGUUUUUUCUUACAUGCAAUUCUUGGAGAAUUGAAGAAUUAACAUCAUUGCAAA